AUUCAUAAUAUGCAUGAUGAAACAUAAUUUGUUUAAAGUACCACCAUAAAUUGGAGGCACUACAGUUUAAAGCAUUAAAAUUCCACGUUGAAUAUUUUUAAGGCUAAAUUUGGAUUUUAAGCAUCUCAGGCUUAGUGUUCCCAAUUAGAUAUAUCAGGAAAGAUACCAGUUUUCAGUUUUUGGAAAAGCUUUUUUUUUUUUUUUUUUUUUAAAUUUAUUUUUAUUAUUAUUAUUUGAGUUUCAAAAAACUAUCACAAAAGAUUAUUAGCUGGAUAAGAAAGCACAGGACACUGAAGGCAUGUGUAUUCCAUUAAAUCAAGAAUGGAGGAAAACUUAAUGUUUAACAAGUAAAGUGGUAGGAAUGCUUUUAGGAAACAAAUUUUCCAUCAUCUGGAACUAGAAAAAGAAACCUGUUUAGAUCAUGGAACAUAAUCUCCUAGCUGCAUUCAGUUUUAACAUGGAUGACCUGGGAAUCCAUCUGACAUGCCCAGUACAGGAUAGGGGAAUAUUUUUCUGCUCAAAUUCUAUUUGUUGCCAAUGUGAACAACUGAAUGAUGUUCCCCUGGACAUCAGAACACAAGAAAACAAACCAAAAUCCUGUUAGCAGUCCUUAUGAGCAUUUUUCUGUGUUUAAAAAAAUUUGCUAAAACUUUUUCAUAGAAAUAAUCUGACCAAGUGUAUAAAGCACAAUAGAAGAAAAUGGAGAAAAUACUUUCAGUUUCUCAUGGUGUAACAACUUCCUCAUGCACUUGUCAUUGCUCUUAUUGUCAGCUACGCAUGGCAGCUCCUCUCUUUCUUUUAGUCAUAUUUGUAUCAGCUCCAGAGGACAGCAUUCCAGACUUAAUGCUCCUUGAUGUAAGGAAAUGGAGAGAAGGAAACAGCAUUUGUUUGAAAAAGGCUACUGAAGGGUUGUUCAACAGUCUCUAACAAGAAAACAAAUGCCAGUGCCAGUAACAGAUCUCGCUGGAAACUUCAUGAGGAGCUCUGCUUUACCGAUCCUUGAGAUAACAGAGAUAUGUCACCUGCGUGCACUAUUUCCUUGUAUUCUGCCACCAUGUCACCAGUCCCUGACAGUAUCGUUCAACUCACUCUGACUUUAAAUAUUAUGUAUAUUUAGUGAUAGCAACAUCAAAUACCUGGGAGUCUUCUGGUGU
rnacentral:lncRNA from 1 species